GGGAAUGUGGCUUAAGUGGUAGGGCGCUCGCCUGUCAUGCGUGCGGCCCGGGUUCGAUCCUCAGCAAUCAUA
rfam:Ictidomys tridecemlineatus contig095401, whole genome shotgun sequence.